GUCAACUUAUGUCCAGUUGCAGCAGAAGACUCCAACAUUUUGGAGAUGCCACUGCUAUGAGAUGACCACCAAGAACAACAGCAGCCAUAGAGUAAAGUCAGCUGGAACCUAGAAGACAAGCUGUGUGUGUUUGUGCUGCAGAGGACAGAGCUGAAAGAGUGACUCAAGCUCCUUGGUGGAGCCCAGAAUACCGUGAAUGAAUCCCAGAUAAUUAGACAUUGAGUUAUUUAGAAUGCUGAAGUUUGGUUUUGCUUGGUUCAGAUUAUGGCUGUACCCUGUUUCUUUCCUCUUAAGAACUGCUUGAACAAGAUGACAACUCUCAUUCGUAGAGUCUGCUCCCAGCUUGUCCACAAGGCUCACUUCAUGAACAGCACCUGGGGGGAGACAGAAUGCAGUGACACCUCUGAUGAAAGCUGUACCAGUGUCUUCAGAGGACUCAUGACUGGAAAUCUACUCCCUCCAGUCAUGCAUGGAUGUGUCCAAAGCUGGCUUUAACAAUUCAAACAGCAAGGUGUCCUGGCAGGAUGUUUUAUCUCAUCAUGCCUCUGUGGAGGAAGCCCAAUGGAAGGGCACCAACAUAACCAGUGAAAAGAUAAAAUUAUCUCUUCCACAAACCUCACUCACCUCAGGAGAACCUCAUGAAACAGCUCUGUGACCUGACUAGUGCUGGUUCAAAGGACAACAUGACCCCAGGAUAGUUCACCUCCAUUUUCCAGCAAGGAGGGCCAUCAUGAGAGUCCUGCUAUACAAGAAAGAGAAUUCAGCCCAUUCUCUUCAGAGAGUUUCCUUUAAAAUGUGAAUCUGGAAGACCCUGAAGAAUGGUGUCAUAAAAGGUCUGGGAACUUUAUGUUGCUGUCUGCUAAUCCAAAAGAGACCGUGCCUAGCGAGCAACAAAAUUCUGGUUGUGAGUUAAAAAGGCUGUGGAGGCAGCUGUGGUGUGGGGAAUUGCAGGCUGGUCUCCAGUCAAACUGAGGUCUGAACCCCGAUGAUCAUAAUCCACCUUUAUGACACGGUAGGUGUUCCCUCAUGCUCCUGGAACUCUGGCCCCUACCUAAGUUACCGCUCCCCACAGCCCCCACAAGGGAAGCAUGGUCAGUAGUCACAUAGACAAUGGCCCAAGCUUCUGACCUUCAGGCUAAACUCCUC
rnacentral:lncRNA from 1 species